GAUGAACGCUGGCGGCGUGCCUAAUACAUGCAAGUCGAGCGAACAGAUAAGGAGCUUGCUCCUUUGACGUUAGCGGCGGACGGGUGAGUAACACGUGGGUAACCCACCUAUAAGACUGGAAUAACUCCGGGAAACCGGGCUAAUGCCGGAUAACAUUUAGAACCGCAUGGUUCUAAAGUGAAAGAUGGUUUUGCUAUCACUUAUAGAUGGACCCGCGCCGUAUUAGCUAGUUGGUAAGGUAACGGCUUACCAAGGCAACGAUACGUAGCCGACCUGAGAGGGUGAUCGGCCACACUGGAACUGAGACACGGUCCAGACCCCUACGGGAGGCAGCAGUAGGGAAUCUUCCGCAAUGGGCGAAAGCCUGACGGAGCAACGCCGCGUGAGUGAUGAAGGUCUUCGGAUCGUAAAACUCUGUUAUUAGGGAAGAACAAAUGUGUAAGUAACUGUGCACGUCUUGACGGUACCUAAUCAGAAAGCCACGGCUAACUACGUG
rnacentral:rRNA from 1 species